UGGGGAAUAUUGGACAAUGGGGGGAACCCUGAUCCAGCCAUGCCGCGUGUGUGAAGAAGGCCUUAUGGUUGUAAAGCACUUUAAGCGAGGAGGAGGGUACUGGUAUUAAUACUACCAGCUACUGGACGUUACUCGCAGAAUAAGCACCGGCUAACUCUGUGCCAGCAGCCGCGGUAAUACAGAGGGUGCGAGCGUUAAUCGGAUUUACUGGGCGUAAAGCGUGCGUAGGCGGCUAAUUGAGUCGGAUGUGAAAUCCCCGAGCUUAUCUUGGGAAUUGCAUUCGAUACUGGUUAGCUAGAGUGUGGGAGAGGAUGGUAGAAUUCCAGGUGUAGCGGUGAAAUGCGUAGAGAUCUGGAGGAAUACCGAUGGCGAAGGCAGCCAUCUGGCCUAACACUGACGCUGAGGUACGAAAGCAUGGGGAGCAAACAGG
rnacentral:rRNA from 1 species